CUGACUGCUAUCGGAUUGAUACUAAGCCAUGCGAGUCUUUGUAGUAAUACAAGGCAGACGGCUCAGUAACACGUAGUCAAUCUAACCUAUGGACGGGGAUAACCUCGGGAAACUGAGAAUAAUGCCCGAUAGAUCAUUAUGCCUGGAAUGGUUUAUGGUCCAAAUGAUUUAUCGCCGUAGGGUGGGACUGCGUUCUAUCAGCUUGUUGGUGAGGUAAUGGCCCACCAAGGCUAUUACAGAUACGGGCUCUGAGAGGAGAAGCCCGGAGAUGGGUACUGAGACACGGACCCAGGCCCUAUGGGGCGCAGCAGGCGAGAAAACUUUGCAAUGUGCGAAAGCACGACAAGGUUAAUCCGAGUGUUUUCUGCUAAAGGAAUCUUUUGUCAGUCCUAAAAACACUGAUGAAUAAGGGGUGGGCAAGUUCUGGUGUCAGCCGCCGCGGUAAAACCAGCACCUCAAGUGGUCAGGAUGAUUAUUGGGCCUAAAGCAUCCGUAGCCGGCUCUGUUAGUUUUCGGUUAAAUCUGUAUGCUCAACGUAUAGGCUGCCGGGAAUACUGCACAGCUAGGGAGUGGGAGAGGUAGACGGUACUCGGUAGGAAAGGGGUAAAAUCCUUUGAUCUAUUGAUGACCACCUGUGGCGAAGGCGGGUCUACUAGAACACGUCCGACGGUGAGGGAUGAAAGCUGGGGGAGCAAACCGGAUUAGAUACCC
rnacentral:rRNA from 1 species